rnacentral:rRNA from 1 species
CAGUAGCCGCGGGAAUACGGAGGGAGCUAGCGUUAUUCGGAAUUACUGGGCGUAAAGCGCACGUAGGCGGCUUUGUAAGUUAGAGGUGAAAGCCUGGAGCUCAACUCCAGAAUUGCCUUUAAGACUGCAUCGCUCGAAUCCAGGAGAGGUGAGUGGAAUUCCGAGUGUAGAGGUGAAAUUCGUAGAUAUUCGGAAGAACACCAGUGGCGAAGGCGGCUCACUGGACUGGUAUUGACGCUGAGGUGCGAAAGCGUGGGGAGCAAACAGGAUUAGAUACCCCCGUAGUCCCUGUCUCUUAUAC